GACGAACGCUGGCGGCGUGCUUAACACAUGCAAGUCGAACGGUAAGGCCCUUCGGGGUACACGAGUGGCGAACGGGUGAGUAACACGUGGGUGAUCUGCCCUGCACUUCGGGAUAAGCCUGGGAAACUGGGUCUAAUACCGGAUAGGACCACUGCCUGCAUGGGUGGUGGUGGAAAGCUUUUGCGGUGUGGGAUGGGCCCGCGGCCUAUCAGCUUGUUGGUGGGGUGAUGGCCUACCAAGGCGACGAAGGGUAGCCGGCCUGAGAGGGUGACGAGCCACACUGGGCCUAGGAGACGGCCCAGCCGCCUACGGGAGGCAGAAGUGGGGAAUAUUGCACAAUGGGCGCAAGCCUGAUGCAGCGGCGCCGCGUGAGGGAUGACGGCCUUCGGGUUGUAAACCUCUUUCAGCACCGACGAAGCGCAAGUGACGGUAGGUGCAGAAGAAGGACCGGCCAACUACGUGCCAGCCGCCGCGGUAA
rnacentral:rRNA from 1 species